rnacentral:rRNA from 1 species
GACGAACGCUGGCGGCGUGCUUAACACAUGCAAGUCGAACGGUAAGGCCCUUCGGGGUACACGAGUGGCGAACGGGUGAGUAACACGUGGGUGAUCUGCCCUGCACUUCGGGAUAAGCCUGGGAAACUGGGUCUGAUACCGGAUAGGACCACUGCCUGCAUGGGUGGUGGUGGAAAGCUUUUGCGGUGUGGGAUGGGCCCGCGGCCUAUCAGCUUGUUGGUGGGGUGAUGGCCUACCAAGGCGACGACGGGUAGCCGGCCUGGGAGGGUGACCGGCCCCACUGGGACUAGGAGACGGCCCAGACUCCUACGGGAGGCAGCAGUGGGGAAUAUUGCACAAUGGGCGCAAGCCUGAUUCAGCGACGCCGCGUGAGGGAUGACGGCCUUCGGGUUGUAAACCUCUUUCAGCACCGACGAAGCGCAAGUGACGGUAGGUGCAGAAGAAGGACCGGCCAACUACGUGCCAGCAGCCGCCGUAA